AUCUGCACACUGGAGGUUUCCACCCACACCUCGGGUGGUUCCCCUGUGCAGGAUGAAGCCCACGUGCUCCAGCGGAGACGUCUCAUCCCUGGGCACUGAGGGACAGGUUGUCCCGGGAACACACGGUGACCACGCCGGGUUUUAGAGUGUAUUUUAAGACAUAAAGGUAGAUUAAAGCUUUUUAUUCUCUAUUUUUCAUCUCCACCUCUCGGGCUCUCCUUCCUUCCUUCCUUCCUUCCUUCCUCUCUCUGAACACUGAUAUGAGGCUGCCCGCAGUGCUGCAGCUGCCGGAUGAGCAUCACAAAGUUAUCCCCAGCCCUUAUUUGGUCCUAUCUCCUGCAACCACUCCACCAGAGGGGUUCCAGGUGCUGAGCAGAGCUGCCCGGAUGGGUUCGCGCUCAGUCUUUGUGUGUGCAGCUUUUGGGGUCAGAGGAGAAUAAAGUCUGGAGAAAAUCAGCACGUCGGUGUGGCCGUGCCCUGCCUUCCCAGGGGCUGUGCAUUGCACUGCAGUGAGAAAUGCUCGCUGUUUCUACCCACCCGGACCCUCUCCUGCAGCUUUGGGGUCCUGUUCCAGGGCAUUCAUACCCAAACCCUGCUGAAUGAGGCUGCACGCAUGGGCUGUCCCUGGGACGUGCCCUUUGGGCAUGGUACCCUGUGCCCAAACAGCCCCAAACCAGAGCUGGCAGGAUGCCCCCAAACCCCCAACCCAUCCCAUCACCUCCUUGGGACCCUGACCCCGUGUACUCUGGGUGACUAGCCCCGUAAUCCCCCUCCCUCGUGCACUUAGCAGCUUCCUGCCUUUGUCUCCCCUCUCUCCAAGCAAAUAUGCCCUUAGCCACAUUUUCCUGGCUGCGGUGCCACCACAUUGUCCCCGAGUUGCUGUCUCCGAGUGCUGCCAGGGCUCUGGGCAGACCGCGGGAGCCCCAGGGCAGCACAGCCCCUGCCCUGCAUGGAGAUCCAUGGAACGGAAUCCUGGUUUGGGAACACAGAGGAAUGCAGGGUCACAUCGGAAGCGUGACGAAGAGCGGAGCUUCGUCAUCGGCGGUGACGGGACUUUCUCCAAACUGCUCCCUCCCACCCCCCAAAUAGCCACAGUCAGAACGAAUGCACCAAAAGAGCUGAAACACAGCAUCUGGUUGCACGCUGCCCUUGGGGUGGGAAAUGGGAUGAGGCUGCGGCUGUGAUACUGGGAUGGGAUGGGAUGGGAUGGGAUGGGAUGGGAUGGGAUGGGAUGGGAUGGGGUGGGAUGGGAUGGGAUGGGAUGGGAGGCAGCACGAUCCCCAAAAUCACCUCUCUAUCCCAGAUGGGGAUGGGCCCCAUCGCUGUCCCACUUCUGGUGCUGCGUCCCCACGUCCCUUAGGGUGGUGCCUACCCUGAAAAGCGCUGCGUUACGUCAAGGUUUCUCUUCCCCCUCUCUCCCCAAGUGAGAAAUUUCUGCUGAGUUUGGCUCUGCCCAUCCGGCGAGGAACUUCCCAGCAGUGACAGGGUGACGUUUGGGCCACCCGAGGGCUGUGUGGCUCCUGGUGACAUGCCCGUCAUUGGAAAGGA
ensembl:lncRNA